UUCUUCUUCUUCUCUGUUAUCUAAUUCUAAAGUUUAUUCCUUUUUUUUUCUCUCAAUUUUUGAUUGAUUGCAAAAGAGUCUUCUCUGUUAGCAAGUUUUGUUAAAUCUUUCGAUUUCAAGUUUUUGGGUUUCGAAGUUUUGAUUUUAAUAAGCAAUCAGCUGUUUAGUAUAAGAAUCAAUUCGUUUCCUUUUGAAGGAACACAAGAACGUUUUUGGAUUCUGGGGAAUUAUGGAUUUUAAAGGUAAAAAAUGGGUUGGGAAUAUGUACCAGAAGUUUGAAGCAAUGUGCUUAGAGGUUGAAGAGAUCAUUGUGCAGGUUAGUAUCACCACAGAAACGGGUGAUGAUUUCAAAGGAAAAGGCAUAGGCAGAAAGCUUAUGGACCAACUAUUCAAGACUUACUCUUCUGAUCUUGAUGGUAAAAGUUUGGUAUAUGAUGGAGAAAAGACUUUAUAUACUGUUGGUCCUCUGCCAUAGAACGAAUUUGACUUUCAAGUCAUCUUGGAAGGUUCAUUUUCAAAACGCGAUUGUGGUGUCUAUGAUGGUGGUAGUCCUUCCAGUACUUGCAAAAGAUCAAAACGUUCUUUCUUGCCAAGAAGUUACAAGGUUUAGAUACAUUUUACUGCAAAAAUACCGUUUAAGUCUGUUCUUGUCAAUCAGAGAGGAGC